rnacentral:lncRNA from 1 species
CGAAGAAUGAGAUAUGCUUCGCAUUAUAACGAUUCUGACUGUUGCGAACUUUUUUCGAGUUCAAUUGCACUGAUGAUUGAUCAUAUAUCUUGAAAAACAAUCGUUAAUCACUCACAACUAACGAACGCUUAAUAUUUUUGUUUUGUUUUUUAUCUCUUUACCGGAUUUUUAACAAGCUCGAGACAGAAUGUUUUCUACGGAUGCAUAGAAUGUAUAGUAUGGUACUCGUAAAUACAUAAUAUCUCGAGAGACCUUGAAAGUGUUGAACAUUUAAAGUUAAUAAUAAGGUAGAAUUAUUGUCCAAUUAAGUUUCUUAUUAAUAUUGGUAUUUGCAUAUUUUUAGUCGAAGCAGCUUGUUUGAUCGUUGUGCGAAUCUUUAAUCAUCAUAUAACGCGAAAACGAAAUUGGACGCGAGCAUUGCUUGCUGAUUCACUCGAGGACAAAGACACGCGCCGCUACUUGAAUCCUCAUGAUAACGUUUAGCCAUUAAAAAUGCUACUCUCGUAGCUGGAAGUGACCGCAAAGAGGACAAUGUUUGCCAGUCAAGCCGUCAGCAACAAGAGAAAGAAAGGAAUAAAAAUUUGAUGGAAGAAUAAGUGAAAGAAUGGCACGAACCUUGCGAAGAGGGAAUACGUUCUCCAAAAAAAAUGAGCCGAUCGUUGUGUGGCGAUCGAGGUGUGAAUGGUGGUCGAUUCCAGCGUACUGGCAGCGAUUGAUGAUUGAAAAGCCGCGAGAGCCAGGCCCCUCGACUCUCCACCGCGCUAGGUCGUCCGCGAUGAAUUUUUCAAAGCAUACCACCCGCCUCGUGGGGAGGGCUAACUUGCAUGAAUCUGGUAUUCUGAACGCGGCUGGACGCCCAUAUAUACCUACUCCAUCGUCGCUCCAGGGACCCCUCGGCUCCCGCACCCUACGGGAGGAGGCCCUGUCUCCGACGUCCUUGACCACGAAGAAAACCAUCAUGUACGUACACCAAUUCUCGACCUUACACGCCACGGCAACGACACACCGUUGUCGUGAUUUUGCUUGUGUGCGUGUUGCUGCAUCUCUGCUUGUAUCUCUCUCCAACAGUUGUUCGCGCCUUCUAAUCUCUCCGCAUGCGUAAGUGAGGAACAAUCUGGAAACGGCUGCUUUCAUGGAACGCAAUUCAUUAAAAUUGUUUAUAACUUGAAAGAUUGUUUAUACCAUUGGAUUGGAAAGGAAGAAAAUUGAUCAACUUUGUGAUCAAUGAGAGUAUAUAACUUGAUCCUCCAAGUUUUCUGGAAGCAAAAAGCGGUUUGAAAGGAAUUUUAAAAAAAAGUUUGUCCCAUCAAAUUCAAAUUUGAAUAUACAUAUAUAUAUCUGUGCUUUUGUUAUUUUACAAUACUCGAACCGGUUGUCCAAAAAUUCAAAUCGUAUAAAUUUACGAUUUACAACCGGUUCUGGUUUAAUGUAUGGACGAGAUUUUUUUUAAUUAUGUCCAUUAUUACGACACAUUAUAACCAUUUUAAAAACUAUUCCAAAUGAUUGAUGGACAUCUCUCACGAAAUCGUUCGAGGUAUGAAAAUAUAUUCUAUCAUCCUCAAAUUGGCACGAUUGAUUACAUUAUCAAUUUCAAGGGAUAAUACGUAUGCCAUUCUCGUCCCUCUCUUUGACAUACCUUGGCUUCAAUGAUGCUGGAAACCUGUUGGUAUAAAUAUUUCCGCUGAAUGAAAUCCGCAAAUUUAUUAUACAAUAGAGAUCAAGAAUAUGAAGAGAUGAAAUUACCAUGUGUCACGAAAAAAACAUCUUUUUUUUUUUUUUACAAUAAACAUCGGUUCAAAAAUGUACAAUGCACCUCUCAUCGAGGUUUUCUAUUGUAUCCUCGGAGUAAAGACAGGAGAACGACUUUUAUCGUAUUCCAGAGAGAAAUCGAACAAAAAAAGAUAAAACGAGAAAAGGAAAAAAUAGAAUUCGAAAAUAAAGAAUUUUUAAAUUCUAUUAUAUUUUUAUCGUGGAACGAAACUGGAAGAUAACUAAUUAGGAUUUCUUCUCGAAGAACUUGAAUUCGAGAAUUGAUUGCAGCCCGAGGAUCUCUGUAGCAUCCUAUAAAAAAAUAAGGCAAUUUAGUGUAAAAAUGCCGAUGAUUCGCCUUGAACUUGCGACCGGUUAUUUUAUCGACCUGUUUUCUAACAGAGAGAGAGAGAGAGAGAGAGAAAGAGAGGAAAAAAAGAAAAAAGAAAGAAAGAUUGGAGAAGAAGCCCAAACUAAAAAAAACUUUUACAAGUAACAAAUUUUUAAUACUGGAAUCGCGAUUAGAAGAAGGGAAAGAAAGAUAAAAAAAGAAGAAGAAGAAGAAGAAAGACGGGAUGGGACUGGUAUUCAAAUUUAGAAAAAUGUCAAUAGGUGUUUAAUUGUUUCUCAUUCCUCCGAAUGAAUCCAGCGUGAAAGAUCCAGUUUGUGCUCGAGGGCCAACACAGAUUAUUGGCGUGGUAGUCUUUGAGGUUCAUUGGCAUCGGGAAGUCAAAUGUGUUUCGAUACAGGUUGUAUGAGUUUUUCGUACCGUAGAACCUGUUAAAGCGUUUUAAACGGCUAAACGGAAUGCAUAAUUAAAUCAUAUAGCUAUAACUCGUAUAUGACAGACUACUAUACACAAAUAGAUUUAUAUGUGGAAAGGAUAUGUAACAUCAUUACCUGCGACAUAAUCGUGGAAAGAAUGAAUGAAACGAGUGGAAAUGGAGAAGAGGAAAGUCUGGAGGAUAAGCCAACGAUAAAUUUUACUUAAUUUUAUCACGAGCCUUGAUCUAAUAGAAUGAUAUAUCGUGUCGUCCACCAGAAAGAAAAAAAAAACUCAUUAAUGCAUUUUUUUCUUUCCAAAAUUAAUAUUUAAGCGACCGUUCAAAAUUUUCCCAUGGAUGUGUAUGACACGAGAAAGCUAUUAACAGAAAGGUAAUAGAUAAUUCGACAGGCAUAAACGUUGAUUCGUUUCGUUCGUGCCAUGUUUCUAUCAAUCUCCUGUGAUUUAUACAAUGUAC